rnacentral:rRNA from 1 species
GACGAAGGAUGGCAAGCGUUAUCCGGAUUCAUUGGGUUUAAAGGGAGCGUAGGUGGCCUUAUAAGUCAGUGGUGAAAUCUCUCGGCUUAACCGAGAAAUUGCCAUUGAUACUGUAGGGCUUGAGUAUAGUUGCCGUUGGCGGAAUAUGACAUGUAGUGGUGAAAUACAUAGAGAUGUCAUAGAACACCGAUUGCGAAGGCGCUGACGAAACUAUAACUGACAACUGAGGCUCGAAAGUGCGGGGAUCAAACAGG